GACGAACGCUGGCGGCGUGCUUAACACAUGCAAGUCGAGCGGUAAGGCCCUUUCGGGGGUACACGAGCGGCGAACGGGUGAGUAACACGUGGGUGACCUGCCCUCAGCUCUGGGAUAAGCCUGGAAAACUGGGUCUAAUACCGGAUAUGACUUCGCAUCGCAUGGUGGUGGGGUGGAAAGUUUUUCGGCUGGGGGAUGGGCCCGCGGCCUAUCAGCUUGUUGGUGGGGUGAUGGCCUACCAAGGCGACGACGGGUAGCCGGCCGUGAGAGGGCGACCGGCCACACUGGGACUGAGACACGGCCCAGACUCCUACGGGAGGCAGGCAGUGGGGAAUAUUGCGCAAUGGGCGGAAGCCUGACGCAGCGACGCCGCGUGGGGAUGACG
rnacentral:rRNA from 1 species